rnacentral:rRNA from 1 species
GAUGAACGCUGGCGGCGUGCCUAAUACAUGCAAGUCGAGCGAACGGACGAGAAGCUUGCUUCUCUGAUGUUAGCGGCGGACGGGUGAGUAACACGUGGAUAACCUACCUAUAAGACUGGGAUAACUUCGGGAAACCGGAGCUAAUACCGGAUAAUAUUUUGAACCGCAUGGUUCAAAAGUGAAAGACGGUCUUGCUGUCACUUAUAGAUGGAUCCGCGCCGCAUUAGCUAGUUGGUAAGGUAACGGCUUACCAAGGCAACGAUGCGUAGCCGACCUGAGAGGGUGAUCGGCCAAACUGGAACUGAGAAACGGUCCAGACUCAGACGGGAGGCAGCAGUAGGGAGUCUUCCGCAAUGGGCGAAAGCCUGACGGAGCAAAGCAGCGUGAGUGAUGAAGGUCUUAGGAUAGUAAAACUCUGUUAUUAGGGAAGAACAAAUGUGUAAGUAACUAUGAACGUCUUGACGGUACCUAAUCAGAAAGCCACGGCUAACUACGUG